rnacentral:rRNA from 1 species
CGAGUGACCACUCACGAAAGUGAGCUUCCGCAAGGACACUCGUAGAGGUGCUGCAUGGCUGUCGUCAGCUCGUGUCGUGAGAUGUUGGUUAAGUCCCGCAACGAGCGCAACCCUUGUUUGCUGUUGCCAUCAGGUUAUGCUGGGCACUCUGCAAAGACUGCCGGUGAUAAACCGGAGGAAGGUGGGGAUGACGUCAAGUCAGCAUGGCCUUUAUGUCUGGGGCCACACACGUGCUACAAUGGCCGACACAAACCGUCGCGAUACCGUAAGGUGGAGCUAAUCGGAGAAAAUCGGUCUCAGUUCGGAUCGUAGGCUGCAACUCGCCUGCGUGAAGUUGGAAUCGCUAGUAAUCGCGGAUCAGCACGCCGCGGUGAAUACGUUCCCGGGCCUUGUACACACCGCCCGUCACAUCACGAAAGCCGGUUGUACUAGAAGUCGCCAUACCAACCCGCAAGGGAGGGAGGCGCCUAAGGUAUGGUCGGUGAUUGGGGUGAAGUCGUAACAAGGUAGGCGUAGUGCU